GAUGAACGCUGGCGGCGUGCUUAACACAUGCAAGUCGAACGGAAAGGCCCUGCUCUUGUGGGGUUCUCGAGUGGCGAACGGGUGAGAAACACGCGUGUAUCCUGCCCUUGUCUUUGGGAUAACUUCAGGAAACUGGGGCUAAUAUCGGAUAGGAGCUCCUGCUGCGUGGGGGGGGUUGGAAAGUUUCGGCGGUUGGGGCUGGACUCGCGGCUUAUCCGCUAGAUGGUGGGGUAGGGGCUUACCAAGGCUUUGACGGAUAGCCGGCCUGGGAGGGUGGACGGCCACAUUAGUACUGAGAUACGGCCCAGACUGCAACGGGAGGCAGCAGGGGGGAAUAUGGCACAGCAGGCGGGAGCCUGAUGCGGCGGCGCCGCGUGCGGAAUGACGGCCUUCGGGUUAAGAACCGCUUUGGCCUGAGACGAAGCGUGAGUGACGGUAAUGGAUAAAGAAGCACCGGCUAACUACGUG
rnacentral:rRNA from 1 species